rnacentral:lncRNA from 1 species
GCAGGCAAUAAACUGAAAAACACAGAUUCGAGAGGCAACCAGGAAGAAACACAGCACAAAGAGGAAGUUUGCAUUCUCACAGAGCAAAGUUUCUGCACAAAGGAUCGAGAAAGAACUCACAGCCUGGAGUUAAUGAUCUUCACUGGCUGUUAAAGAGAUGUGAAGCCUGCUGGAUCGUGUCUGUGCAGAUCUUUAACUCACAAAGGUUUGAACACGGACCGGCUUCUUUAUGUGAUAUUAAGAGAUAUUCUUGGUCAUAGAGAUAUAUUGGUUAUUUUCCAGUAACACUCUUUUAUCUCUAUUGUAUUUUUCCA